UGGCGCCUCCACCCCCUAGCUCUCAAGCGUGCCGCUGAUCCCGACGGCGAGAUGGGAGAGGAAUUGGAGAACACGUCCAGUGCCAGUGCUACCGCUUCUUCCGCUAACCUUUGCGUGAGCUGAGGAGAUGUCUAUCUCCUUUUCGUUUUCCAUGCAGAAUCAUGGAGGUAAGAGAGAUUUUCAUGGUUCAUGGAGGAAUGAAAGGUUUCUCCAAUAAAGAUGAACAAGAGCACAAGUGAGGGCAUGAGAGGCUGCGAAAGAGGAAAAAAGAAGAAAAAGAGUGAAAAAAACACCAUUUUGAUUCUAUUUUCCUUAAAAUUUUCCAAUUUCUUCAUUUCUUUGCUAAAAUUCUUGGAUAUUUUGAUCCAUUUGUUCAUCUACUCCAUUUGAAGGAAGGAUUUGAGGGUUUGGAGAUGGAGAAAGAGAUGAAGAGUAGCCAAAGACCGCCACGAAUAGAGCCAGAGCUAGAGUUUCCAUUGCAAUGGGGAAGUAGGAAGCAGCUCCCUUGUGUGAGAGUGCAAGAUGAGACCACUCCAGAGAGAUUCAUUGGCCCCAUCGUUGACAAGGAUCUCCCAACAUUCAUAUCAUGAGGCCCACCAUAUACAAGGCCAACUUUAUCAACGGGAAGAAGUGGAAACGAUAGCCGAAGCUCCAAAAAUAGAGGAUAUUGAUGCUACAGCCAUGGGCCCCACUUUUGGAUGAAAUCUCCUCAAUUGUUGACAUGUGUAUAAUUUGUUGCAAGUUUUGAUUUUUUAUAUACAUGUACAGUAAAUAAAAUAAAAAACAAUUACCAUCCAUUGCUUAUAAAACAAUGUCAUUGCAUUGUAACAAAAUGAACUUUUA